CAGUUCCCCUCGUCCAACCAGCUGCCACGUCCUGAAAACCAAAAGUGACCGGGAUGAAUGUCUGGCUCCC
rfam:Callithrix jacchus chromosome 11, whole genome shotgun sequence